rnacentral:rRNA from 1 species
GAACCUGCGGAAGGAUCAUUACCGAGUGCGGGCCCUCUGGGUCCAACCUCCCAUCCGUGUCUAUCUGUACCCUGUUGCUUCGGCGUGGCCACGGCCCGCCGGAGACUAACAUUUGAACGCUGUCUGAAGUUUGCAGUCUGAGUUUUUAGUUAAACAAUCGUUAAAACUUUCAACAACGGAUCUCUUGGUUCCGGCAUCGAUGAAGAACGCAGCGAAAUGCGAUAAUUAAUGUGAAUUGCAGAAUUCAGUGAAUCAUCGAGUCUUUGAACGCACAUUGCGCCCCCUGGUAUUCCGGGGGGCAUGCCUGUCCGAGCGUCAUUGCUGCCCUCAAGCACGGCUUGUGUGUUGGGCUUCCGUCCCUGGCAACGGGGACGGGCCCAAAAGGCAGUGGCGGCACCAUGUCUGGUCCUCGAGCGUAUGGGGCUUUGUCACCCGCUCCCGUAGGUCCAGCUGGCAGCUAGCCUCGCAACCAAUCUUUUUAACCAGGUUGACCUCGGAUCAGGUAGGGAUACC